rnacentral:rRNA from 1 species
UGGGGAAUAUUGCACAAUGGGCGCAAGCCUGAUGCAGCGACGCCGCGUGGGGGAUGACGGCCUUCGGGUUGUAAACUCCUUUCGCUAGGGACGAAGCUUUUUGUGACGGUACCUAGAUAAGAAGCACCGGCUAACUACGUG